GCCUUCGUGGUGUAGUGGUCAGCACGCUCGACGCGUAACCGAGAGGUCCAUGGUUCGAUUCCCGGCAAAGGCG
rnacentral:tRNA from 1 species